GAUGAACGCUGGCGGCGUGCCUAAUACAUGCAAGUCGAGCGAACAGAUGAGGAGCUUGCUCCUCUGACGUUAGCGGCGGACGGGUGAGUAACACGUGGAUAACCUACCUAUAAGACUGGGAUAACUUCGGGAAACCGGAGCUAAUACCGGAUAAUAUAUUGAACCGCAUGGUUCAAUAGUGAAAGACGGUUUUGCUGUCACUUAUAGAUGGAUCCGCGCCGCAUUAGUUAGUUGGUAAUGUAACGGCUUACCACGGCAACGAUGCGUAGCCGACCUGAGAGGGUGAUCGGCCACACAGGAGCUGAGACACGGUCCAGACUCCUACGGGAGGCAGCAGUAGGGAAUCUUCCGAAAUGGGCGAAAGCCUGACGGAGCAACGCCGCGUGAGUGAUGAAGGUCUUCGGAUCGUAAAACUGUGUUAGUAGGGAAGAACAAAUGUGUAAGUAACUAUGCACGUCUUGACGGUACCGAAUCAGAAAACCACGGCUAACUACGU
rnacentral:rRNA from 1 species